GAUGAACGCUGGCGGCGUGCUUAACACAUGCAAGUCGAACGAUGAAGGAGGAGCUUGCUCCUCUGGAUUAGUGGCGAACGGGUGAGUAACACGUGAGCAAUCUGCCCCUGACUCUGGGAUAAGCGUUGGAAACGACGUCUAAUACCGGAUACGAGCCGAGCAGGCAUCUGCAUCGGUUGGAAAGAACUUCGGUCAGGGAUGAGCUCGCGGCCUAUCAGCUAGUUGGUGAGGUAAUGGCUCACCAAGGCGACGACGGGUAGCCGGCCUGAGAGGGUGACCGGCCACACUGGGACUGAGACACGGCCCAGACUCCUACGGGAGGCAGCAGUGGGGAAUAUUGCACAAUGGGCGCAAGCCUGAUGCAGCAACGCCGCGUGAGGGACGACGGCCUUCGGGUUGUAAACCUCUUUUAGCAGGGAAGAAGCGAGAGUGACGGUACCUGCAGAAAAAGCACCGGCUAACUACGUGCCAGCAGCCGCCGUAC
rnacentral:rRNA from 1 species